GGCCGCGGGAAUUCGAUUUGACUGACUGAGUGCCAGCAGCCGCGGUAAUACAGAGGGUGCGAGCGUUAAUCGGAUUUACCGGGCGUACAGCGUGCGUAGGCGGCUGAUUAAGUCGGAUGUGAAAUCCCUGAGCUUAACUUAGGAAUUGCAUUCGAUACUGGUCAGCUAGAGUAUGGGAGAGGAUGGUAGAAUUCCAGGUGUAGCGGUGAAAUGCGUAGAGAUCUGGAGGAAUGCCGAUGGCGAAGGCAGCCAUCUGGCCUAAUACUGACGCUGAGGUACGAAAGCAUGGGGAGCAAACAGGAUUAGAUACCCUGGUAGUCCAUGCCGUAAACGAUGUCUACUAGCCGUUGGGGCCUUUGAGGCUUUAGUGGCGCAGCUAACGCGAUAAGUAGACCGCCUGGGGAGUACGGUCGCAAGACUAAAACUCAAAUGAAUUGACGGGGGCCCGCACAAGCGGUGGAGCAUGUGGUUUAAUUCGAUGCAACGCGAAGAACCUUACCUGGUCUUGACAUAGUAAGAACUUUCCAGAGAUGGAUUGGUGCCUUCGGGAACUUACAUACAGGUGCUGCAUGGCUGU
rnacentral:rRNA from 1 species